GGACUACAAGGGUUUCUAAUCCUGUUUGCUCCCCACGCUUUCGAGCCUCAGCGUCAGUAAUGAGCCAGUAUGUCGCCUUCGCCACUGGUGUUCUUCCGAAUAUCUACGAAUUUCACCUCUACACUCGGAGUUCCACAUACCUCUCUCAUACUCAAGACACCCAGUAUCAAAGGCAAUUCCGAGGUUGAGCCCCGGGAUUUCACCCCUGACUUAAAUGUCCGCCUACGCUCCCUUUACGCCCAGUAAUUCCGAGCAACGCUAGCCCCCUUCGUAUUACCGCGGCUGCUGGCAC
rnacentral:misc_RNA from 1 species